UACGUAGGGUGCAAGCGUUAAUCGGAAUUACUGGGCGUAAAGCGUGUGUAGGCGGGCGAUCAAGUACCUUGUGAAAUCCCACGGCUCAACCGUGGAACCGCUGGGUAUACUGGUUGUCUUGAGCCGGCUAGGGGCGAGCGGAACAGACGGUGGAGCGGUGAAAUGCGUUGAUAUCCUAAGGAACACCGGUGGCGAAAGCGGCUCACUGGAUCUCUUCUGACGCUGAGGCACGAAAGCUAGGGUAGCGAACGGG
rnacentral:rRNA from 1 species